rnacentral:rRNA from 1 species
UGCAAGUCGAACGAGAAGCUUCUUCGGAAGUGAUUAAAGUGGCGCACGGGUGAGUAACGCGUAGACAAUCUGCCCUUCAGUCCGGGACGACUUUCCGAGAGGGGAGCUAAUACCGGAUAACAAUGUUUAACAUAAGUUUAAUAUUUGAAAGCUCCGGUGCUGAUGGAUGAGUCUGCGUCCCAUUAGCUUGUUGGUGCGGUAGUGGCGCACCAAGGCCGCGAUGGGUAGCGGGUUUGAGAGGACGAUCCGCCACACUGGGACUGAGACACGGCCCAGACUCCUACGGGAGGCAGCAGUGGGGAAUAUUGCACAAUGGGGGAAACCCUGAUGCAGCCAUGCCGCGUGUGUGAAGAAGGCCUUCGGGUUGUAAAGCACUUUCAGUUGUGAGGAAAAGUUAGUAGUUAAUACCUGCUAGCCGUGACGUUAACAACAGAAGAAGCACCGGCUAACUCCGUGCCAGCAGCCGCGGUAAUACGGAGGGUGCGAGCGUUAAUCGGAAUUACUGGGCGUAAAGCGCACGCAGGCGGUUUGUUAAGCUAGAUGUGAAAGCCCCGGGCUCAACCUGGGAUGGUCAUUUAGAACUGGCAGACUAGAGUCUUGGAGAGGGGAGUGGAAUUCCAGGUGUAGCGGUGAAAUGCGUAGAUAUCUGGAGGAACAUCAGUGGCGAAGGCGACUCCCUGGCCAAAGACUGACGCUCAUGUGCGAAAGUG